rnacentral:misc_RNA from 1 species
GCCCGGUAUUCUCACCUCUCACAUCCGUUCUCCGCCGAUCCAUUCCUCCUGUACAAUGGCCGCCGCCAGGGCUCUCCUCCACCGCGCCUCCCGCGGCACCCCCUCCAUUUCCUCCGCCGCCCGCCUCAUCCUGUCUCAAGGCCACUCCUCCCAGGCCGCCGGAUCUGAUCCCGCCGCCGCCGUCGGCGACGGCGCGAAGCCGAAGCGAAUGAAGACCUUCUCGAUCUACCGCUGGAGCCCCGACAACCCCAGCGAGAAGCCUCAGCUCCGCAACUACACCAUCGACCUCAACAACUGCGGCCCCAUGGUCCUCGACGCCCUCAUCAAGAUCAAGAACGA